rnacentral:lncRNA from 1 species
CAGGUGUUUACCAUGAAAAGCCAUUGCUUACUGUUGAUUCAGAACCCCAGGGACUCUCAGAAAGAAAUGUGACUCUCCUCUGUCAUCCACCUACUUUCUUUGACACCUUCAUCUUCUGCAGAGAUGGAAAUGCUUCCUUUCCCCAGAACUGCUUAUGUCAGGACUCCAACACAUUUCCCAUCUCUCCUGGGAGCUCACGGCACAGGAGUACCUAUAGAUGCUUUGGCUCUUACAGAGACAACCCUAACCUGUGGUCACUGCCUAGUGACCCUCUUGAGCUCUCUUUCUCAGAUUCACUAGGUCUUUCUGUGGUUUGGGGCUCAGUUGCUGCUGUCUGCUUCCUCCUCUUCCUUAUUCUCCUCUUCAUCUGUCUCUGCCACCACUGGGCCAAAUGCAGGACCACCAAUGGCAAGACCAGGAGCCAGGUGAAAUAUAAGAGCUCCAGCCCAGCCCUGGACAUUGAAGAAAACAAUAAAUAUGAUGACUUGGAGGGCAUUCAACCUGAGAACAGCAGCCAGGUGGACACACAGGUGAGCUCUCUUUUCCUC